rnacentral:rRNA from 1 species
UACGUAGGUGGCAAGCGUUGUCCGGAUUUAUUGGGUCUAAAGGGUGCGUAGGCGGUCCUAUAAGUCAGUGCUGAAAUAUCCCGGCUUAACCGGGAGGGUGGCAUUGAUACUGCAGGACUUGAGUGAAGUCGAGGUAGGCGGAAUUGACGGUGUAGCGGUGAAAUGCUUAGAUAUCGUCAAGAACACCGAUAGUGAAGACAGCUUACUAGACUUCAACUGACGCUGAGGCACGAAAGUGUGGGGAUCAAACAGG